UGAGGACAGCCUACUCAAAAUGAUGAAAAGU
rnacentral:piRNA from 1 species